GUUGUGAGGAUUCGUUCGACUACGUCCGUUUGUCUUCUUCAUGGACUCGUUCUUCUUCCUAGCGGGAUUUCAGGCAAGAUGACCAUACCCUCGAAAUCACUUCUAUCUUUGCUUGCUAGUUGUUCGUUCUACCGCUAUGUCGUGCUACCUUCCACUUGUUAUAUCAUGCCUCACAUAUUGCCAUGUCAAGCCUCUAACUCACCUUCCUAGCAAAUCGUUGUUUGGCUAUGUUAUCGCUUUGCUUAGCCCCUCUUAUAGCGUUGCCAGUUGCAGGUGAAGUUGAAGUUUGUUCCAGGUUUGGAACAUGGAUAUGUUGGGAUAUAACAAUAUCUAUUAUUUUAAUUAAUGCAUCUAUAUACUUGGUAAAGGGUGGAAGGCUCGGCCUUAUGCCUGGUGUUUUGUUCCAGUCUUGCCGCCCUAGUUUCCGUCAUACCGGUGUUAUGUUCCCUGAUUUUGCGUUCCUAACGCGGUUGGGUGUUAUCGGAACCCCUUAACAGUUCGCCUUGAAUAAAACUCCUCUAGCAAGGCCCAACCUUGGUUUUACAUUUGCCUAACAAUCUAUCACCUUCCCUUGGGUUCUGCAGACCUACGGGUCAUCUUUAUUUUAAGCCCCCGGGCCAGUGCUUCUUUAAGUGUUGGUCCAAACUAGAGUGUAACGCCCCGAGACCGAUGUGCCAGGUGUCGUGCAGUUAUUCGCUGUUGUUGCCUUGUCAUUGCUUGCGUGUCAUGCAUUUGCAUAUCAUGUCAUCAUGUGCAUUGCAUUUGCAUACGUGUUCGUCUCAUGCGUUCGAGCAUUUUCCCCGUUGUCUGUUUUGCAUUCCGGCGCUUCGUUCUCCUCCGGUGGUCAUUUUUAACUUUCUUUCGUGUGUGGGGAUUAACCAUUUCCGGAUUGGACCGAGACUUGCCAAGCGGCCUUGGUUUACUACCGGUAGACCGCCUGUCAAGUUUCGUAUCAUUUGGACUUCGUUUGAUACUCCAACGGUUAACCGAGGGACCGAAAAGGCCUCGUGUGUGUUGCAGCCCAACACCCCUCCAAUUUUUCCCAAAACCCACCUAACUCUGCUCCAUCAUCUAGAGCGUUCGAUCACGAUCGCGUGGCUGAAAACUGCACCUCAUUUGGACUCUCCUAGCUCCCUCUAUGCCUAUAAAUAGGUCCUCCUCGAAAAUCUCGGACCCCCCUCGUCCAAAACCCUAGAGAUCCACCUCGCGCGCACCGGACAUGUCCGCCGCCGCCCGCGGCCUCUAGCCGCCUGCCACGUGGCAAGCCGCCACCGCCCGAGGCCCGCGCGGCCCAGCCGGGGCCCCGCGGCCCGCAGACGCCGCGUCGCCCGCGCCCUUCUCCUCCCCGACGCCGCUCGCCCUCCGCCGCCAUCGCCUUCCCCUUGCCCGGAUCCGGCCGCCUCCGUCAACUCCGGCGGCCCGUGCAGCUACUCUGGCGAAGAUCCGGUCGACCUCGGAUUGCGUGCCACCGAAACCCUAGAUCUGGUGGUUCCUUUUUUUCCUCCAUGUCCCAAAAAUUCCAGAUCCAAGUGCUCUUGUUCAUAGCCUCGUAACUUUGCAUCCGUAGCUCCGAUUCAUGCAUAUAGCAUAUCAAAAUGUUCAUCUCAGGGAGUACAUCAUUUAAUUCCAUUGCAUCCUUUUGAUUUGAGUUCAUCUUGAUGCCCGAAAUGCUGUUAUAAGAGGGCUACUUGAGAUAAUUGUCAGAUCUGCUACUCCAUUUAGGUUUUUGUCAUUUUUUCCAUGAUUAAUGUGUGCAUGAUAUGCCCUGAUGCUCUACAUAUGUUUUGUAAAGGGUUUUGUCAUAUUUCCAGAGGUGCAACCCAUUUAUUUUUCUGAUGUGUGUGGUGACUAGCACAAGCUUGCAAAGUGGUGCACUUGGUAAUUCUGUUUUCAGGGACUUAGCAUUUCCACUAAGUCCUUGAUCUGUUUAUCUCAUGAUGCCAUAUGUUCAUGUUGUUUCCUAGUGAUCCGUGCCUCUUUUGAGGAUGAUCAGUAAGGAGGUUUUGUUAAUCUUGUAGUGCUCUAUCCAUCCAUGUCUUUGUUUGCAUUUAUGGAGUACCCUAGCUUGAGUCAAUCGAGCUCUACUUUUGCUAAUUUGUGAAUCUGGGCAGAUUGUCAACUUGUUUGCAAUUUUGCCGAUGAUGUUGUAGUUGAUCCGUGCAUGCUAUGCUUUUGUUCUUGUCAUGUCUAGCUUGAAUUUUGUGUGUUCUUGAUGGGUGUAUGCUUAGUUUUUCAUGACUUGCACCGUAGUGAGUGCAUCGAGCUCGUAAACAUGCCUACUUGAUAUCUGUUUUCAGCAUGCUCUAGUUUUCACCAAGUGUGAAAACUGUUUAUGUUUUUGCUAUAUUCACAUGCUUGCAAUUGAAUUUUCUGAUCCCUUUUGGCUCAAGGUCACUAAGGGACUUUUGUUAAGAUCUUUGAGUAGAUCCAUGCCAUGCUUUACUUUGCCAUGUUCAGGUCCUGUAGCAUGUAGUUUUGUUGCUCCGAAGAGUGCUAUCUGAUCUGAAAUUCCAGACAAGUGUUGAUUUCACCAAGUCUGAGAUCUGUUUGCCAUAUGCAUUUUUGGCCAUGCUUGUUUGAACCUGUUAAUGGAUGAAUUGGCCGUAGCUCAGUGCUAGACUUUUGUUAAGCAUCAUGAAUGCAUCCCUUUCAUGUAUUUUGUUGUCAUGUUUGAGUGUUGUAGCAUGUUCAUCUCGUUGCAUUUAGAUGGCUACUUGCUGUAAAUCGCAGACCGGUGUCAAUUUUGAAUCGCUUGACAUUUCCAAACCGUAACUCCGAUUCCGGCGUUCUUUAUAUCGUUUUCAAGCAGUUUCAUCUCCAUCUUCCCAGUGGCACACUUGGAUUUCCAAGUUGAGGCCGGGUUCUUGCAUUUCCUGUCAUAUCUUGCAUAUGCAUCCCGCAUCGCAUCCCGCAUAGCAUAUCAUCAUUGCAUCACAUUGUUUGAUCCUUGCACGUGGUUGAUUGUGUCCUUUUUGCUUGUUUGUCUUGGUUGGGUAGAGCCGGGAGACGAGUUCGCUAACGAGGAGCCCGUUGAGUUUUCUUUCAAGGAUCCAGUCAACUCUGACAACUGUGCAGGCAAGAUGAUCAUACCCUCGAAAUCACUACUAUCUUUGCUAUGCUAGUUUGCUCGCUCUUUUGCUAUGCCAAUGCUACGAUGCCUACCACUUGCUUUCAAGCCUCCCAAAUUGCCAUGUCAAACCUCUAACCCACCUUGUCCUAGCAAACCGUUGAUUGGCUAUGUUACCGCUUUGCUCAGCCCCUCUUAUAGCGUUGCUAGUUGCAGGUGAAGAUUGGAGGUCGUUCCUUGUUGGGUCAUUUAUUUACUUGUUGGGAUAUCAUUAUAUUUCCAUGUUAUCUUAAUGCAUCUAUAUACUUGGUAAAGGGUGGAAGGCUCGGCCUCUCGCCUAGUGUUUUGUUCCACUCUUGCCUGCCUAGUUUCCGUCAUAUCGGUGCUAUGUUCCCGGAUUUUGCGUUCCUUACGUGGUUGGGUUAUAAUGGGAACCCCUUGAUAGUUCGCCUUGAUUAAAGCUUUUCCAGCAAUGCCCAACCUUGGUUUUACCAUUUGCCACCUAGCCUCUUUUUCCAUUGGGUUUCCGGAGCCCGAGGGUCAUCUUAUUUAACCCCCCCGGGCCAGUGCUCCUCUGAGUGUUGGUCCAACCUAGAGCCCCUUGCAGCGCCACCUCGGAGAAACUUGAGGGCUGAUUUUAGUUGUACGGAUUGCUUAUCUGAGUGUGCCCUGAGAACGAGUUAUGUGCAGCUCCUAUCGGGAUUUGUCGGCACAUUCGGGGUGUGUUGCUGGUCUUGUUUUAACCUGUUGAAGUGUCUUGAAGAACCGAGAUACCGAGUCUGAUCGGAACGUCUUGGGAGGAGGUCUAUUCCUUCGUUGACCGUGAGAGCUUGUCAUGGGCUAAGUUGGGACUCCCCUGCAGGGAUUUGAACUUUCGAAAGCCGUGCCCGCGGUUAUGGGCAGAUGGGAAUUUGUUAAUGUCUGGUUGUAGAUAACUUGAACCUUAACUUAAUUAAAAUGAAUCAACUAAGUGUGUUACCGUGAUGGCAUCUUCUCGGCGGAGUCCGGGAAGUGGACACGGUGUUGGAGUAAUGUUUGCGCAGGUUUCUCUCUAGUUUCUCGCUCGCGCUUUGCCUCCUCUUCUCGCUCUCUUUUGCGAAUAAGUUAGCCACCAUAUUUUGCUAGUCGCUUGCUGCAGCUCCACUUAUAUUUACCUUGCCAUACCUAUAAGCUUAAAUAGUCUUGAUCGCGAGGGUGCGAGAUUGCUGAGUCCCUGUGGCUCACAGAUUACUAUUACACCAGAUGCAGGGCCUGAUGAUUUCGCUCCAGGAGACGCGUUUGAGCUCAAGUGGGAGUUUGACGAGGACUCUCAAUAUUACUAUGUUUCCUUUCCUGAUGAUCAGUAGUGGUGCCCAGUUGGGGGUGAUCGGGACCGUGUCGCAUGUUGGGUUCUCUUUUAUUUUGGCGCCGUAGUCGGGCCAUGAGUGUUUGGAUGAUGUAAUGUUAUUUAUGUUCUUGCUUGACGUGGCGAGUGUAAGCCAACUAUGUUAUCUCCCCUUUAUUAUUUAUAUUACAUGAGAUGUUGUGAAGAUUGCCUAACUUGCGACAUAUGCCUUCAAUGCGAUUAUGUCUCUAAGUCGUGGCUCGACACGUGCGAGCUAUAGUCACAUCGAGGGUGUUACAAGUUGGUAUUAGAGCCUUCCCCGACCUUAGGAGCCCCAUUGCUUGAUCGUUUUUAGCGGCCGAGUUAUGUCUAGAAAUAUGUUUUGAGUCAUUUAGGAAUUAUAUAUCGGAGAGUUUAGGAAUUCUUUUUACUUCCCAGUCUCCUCAUCGCUCUGGUAAGGCAUCCUGACGUAGAGUUUUGACUCUUCUCUUCUCAAAUUUCACUAAAAAAAUUUUAGGCUCACGCGGGUAUCUUGGAAUCGUUCCGAUGGUUUUAUGAUGAGAACACUGUCUUGGUGCCUCCUGUCAGGGGUUUAGUGGAAGUGUCCCGGGGAGUUGAGCUCUGAGGUGUUUUCAUCAUAAUUUUAUCGUUGCAGUUCUGGAAUACCUGAGUUUAGUACGCCGACAUCGAAAAUCUCUUUUAUGCAGUUCGUUGGUGAGAUAACCUCGACGCCACCCAGUACUGGGGCGGGAGUUCGGGAGUAUCGCCAUAACUUGUAUAACGGAUUCUUUUCGAAGGUUGAGGUAGAUGUUUUCCAAAGGUUUCUUGGUUAUGUGUUGAAGGAUGGAUACAGCUGGAUGUAGGAUUUGCUAGAUUUGGAUGAGAUAUUAUGCUUCCCCUGUAUCCCCAACACCUGAUUGCAUAACCGGAAAAUUUCGGGAGUUUCAUAGGUGGGAAUUCAAGUAGCUCUUAGGAUAUCUUUCCGAUGGAUAUAUGAUAUGAAAUUGGGGUUCGACGUCUAGUGGUCCGCCUAUUCACGGUCGAUUUUAUAGUGGUCUCGUUGUGUCAUAAAGAGUCCUUGGCUAUGCCGACUCGAGGACGCUUCGUAUGUCAUGUGCACUGCCUUGUAUAUGAUGGUGCUGUACGAUCGAGCCCGUGUAGGCCCCACCACGAAAACUUCGGAUGAAAUCUCUAUCAUAUGUUUGUUCCGGCUUAUUCUGCAAGCCAACCUUUUGUUUUUGUUUUGGGUUGUGGUAUUCGAGUUGCUUCGAAGUCAAAUGUUGAUUCCAUACCUUUCCUAAGCGGUGUUCUCAUAUUCCUAUGUGAAUACUAAUCCUUCAUGAUAAUCGAGAUUGGCAUGUCAUUUCUUUCCAACCGGCGUGUUUCUCUUCAAGUGGAUCUGAUCAUUUCAACAUCCGCAAGAUCAAGUAUCAGUUCUUCUCAACGCUGUUUGUUUCAUCCAUCUCCAAGUUGCCUUUGUUUUUUCCCGCCCACCCACCCUUUUUCUUCAAGGAAUUCGAUGUCUUAAUGAAGUAUCCUUUUAUUCUUGUGAAGUCUCUCCAUCCUUUCCUUCAAUGUUCUUAUUCGGCGAUUCUCAUGAAGAUACUAACGGAGCUUCUAGUUCAUCAUUCUUCUUUCUUUUAUCUUCUCCGGUGGUUUCAAGUCAAGCUUUGUUGAUCUUACCCUUUUCCUCAUUUCAAUACCUUCUCAUGCCGGUGCACCUCAUAUUCAUUCACUUCUCGUUAUUCAUUUGUUCCGGAGUGCUCAAGAUAUCUCGAAGAUUCAUGUUACCACUCUGCUUUCGUUCAAACUCUUUUGAGGAUGUUAUAUCAUUUAAGUCAUUUAAUUCAACCGGUGUAAUCUCUCCUUCAAAUUGUUCUACGAUGUUUCUUUUGAGUGGGCCCUAACCCACAGGUCUUUUCCUAGGAUCUUACCUGACUCUUCUUAUUUUCCCGGAGGUAUUCUCAAAUUCCUUUUGAAGUUUGACAUAAGGAUGAAUUAUCAUCAGUCAAAUGUAUUUCUCCAAGAACUUUCAAAUUCUUUUCAUCGUUGGCUCAAUCUUUCCAUUCGUCAUUUCGGAGUGUCUAAAUAAUUCAUGGUGGUGUUUUCGUCAUCAUUCUCAACAUUUAAAGACCAAGGAAUAAUUUUCUCUUCAAUCAUAUCCGUUCUCGUGAAGAUUCGUGAUUCUAGCUUGUUGCCUUCCUCUCAUAUUUGCUUUCGAUUGUGAGAAUUCUUUUCACCCAGCCAGAGUAAUUCAGGAGUCUUUCUAGUUUGUUUCUCUGGAGCCCAUCAUUUCAGAAGAUUUAUUAAUUCUCAGCUUUCAGUUAUCAUUCUCCAAUCCUACCGGUGCAUCGUUCAAGUGUUCUCUAAUCAGCUCGUCAUCUCUUUGUUCUCAUAUAUCUAAAUUCUCUCAAGCAUCUUCAUUCAUUUGCUAAUUCUUCUCGGUGUUUUCUUUAUCUUCUCUUCGUUCAUUUUUAAGUCUUAUGGUGUUUCAUUCAAGAUUCCUCUUCUUAUGUUAUCAUACUCCCGUUCUCUCAAAUUCUACCGGUGGUUCGUUGAAGACCUUCUCAAGAUGAUGCCAUAUAUAUCCUAAUCCUUUCUUCGAGAAUAAGUAGUAUGCCAAAUCCAUUGUUGGUCAUCAAUUUAAUUGGUGAAGGAUACGCAUAACAUAGUUCUUACUCUUGUUUCACACAAGUGAUUAAUUCCUUAUUUCGGAGGCUCAUCAAAUUCUUGUUUCCAUUUGUUCAUCUUUCUUUUCCGGAGUGCCAAGUUUUCUCUUUAUCUCGUUGCUAAGCUUCAUCUAAUCAUUGCAAGGUUUUAACCUUAUUUUUCUCAUCUUUCUUUCUGUCCGAUCAUUCUUUUGUGUACCGGAGUUCUUCAUGAAGGUUCUACAUGAUGGUUCAUCUAUGAUUUAAUUCAUUCUCGAAGUGUUCAUCGAGAUUCUUUUCCAAGAAACUCAAGCUUUCUUCAUAUUGUAAUCCAGAGUGCAAUUCUUUCUUCCGUAUCUUUGGAGGUGGUAUUAUAUCAUUCUUAAUCCUUCUCUAUCUUGUUUUAACCGGAGUGGUUUCAAUAUACAUCUUGCCCUUCAACCUCAAGGUUUUUCGCAAUGUUCUUUGUCCCUCUUUUCUAACAGAGUGUUUUCAAAUUUUUCAUCUCCGUUAUUCUUUUUAUCGAAAUGGCUUAACCUUUUCAAGGUUCUUUGGUCUCACUCGUUUGUCAAAGAAGCAACUUAGUUUUACCUCUUCUCUUUCUCUUCCGUUUUUCCUUCCGGUGCCAUUCUAGAUCUCGGGACGAGAUUCUCUCAUAGUGGUGGAGUGUUGUAACGCCCCGAGACCGAUGUGCCAGGUGUCGUGCAGUUAUUCGCUGUUGUUGCCUUGUCAUUGCUUGCAUGUCAUGCAUUUGCAUAUCAUGUUAUCAUGUGCAUUGCAUUUGCAUACGUGUUCGUCUCAUGCAUUCGAGCGUUUUCCCCGUUGUCCGUUUUGCAUUCCGGCGCUUCGUUCUCCUCCGGUGGUCAUUUCUAGCUUUCUUUCGUGUGUGGGGAUUAACCAUUUCCGGAUUGGACCGAGACUUGCCAAGCGGCCUUGGUUUACUACCGGUAGACCGCCUGUCAAGUUUCGUAUCAUUUGGACUUCGUUUGAUACUCCAAUGGUUAACCGAGGGACCGAAAAGGCCUCGUGUGUGUUGCAGCCCAACACCCCUCCAAUUUUUCCCAAAACACACCUAACUCUGCUCCAUCAUCUAGAAUGUUCGAUCACGAUCGCGUGGCCGAAAACCGCACCUCAUUUGGACUCUCCUAGCUCCCUCUAUGCUUAUAAAUAGGUCCUCCUCGAAAAUCUCGGAUCCCCCCUCGUCCAAAACCCUAGAGAUCCACCUCGCGUGCACCGUACAUGUCCGCCGCCGCCCGCGGCCUCUAGCCGCCUACCACGUGGCAAGCCGCCACCGCNNNNNNNNNNNNNNNNNNNNNNNNNNNNNNNNNNNNNNNNNNNNNNNNNNNNNNNNNNNNNNNNNNNNNNNNNNNNNNNNNNNNNNNNNNNNNNNNNNNNNNNNNNNNNNNNNNNNNNNNNNNNNNNNNNNNNNNNNNNNNNNNNNNNNNNNNNNNNNNNNNNNNNNNNNNNNNNNNNNNNNNNNNNNNNNNNNNNNNNNNNNNNNNNNNNNNNNNNNNNNNNNNNNNNNNNNNNNNNNNNNNNNNNNNNNNNNNNNNNNNNNNNNNNNNNNNNNNNNNNNNNNNNNNNNNNNNNNNNNNNNNNNNNNNNNNNNNNNNNNNNNNNNNNNNNNNNNNNNNNNNNNGCGCCCUUCUCCUCCCCGACGCCGCUCGCCCUCCGCCGCCAUCGCCUUCGCCUCGCCCGGAUCCGGCCGCCUACGUCAACUCCGGCGGCCUGCGCAACUACUCCGGCGAAGAUCCGGUAGACCUUGGAUUGCGUGCCACCGAAACCCUAGAUCUGGUGGUUCCUUUUUUUCCUCUAAGUCCCAAAAAUUCCAAAUCCAAGUGCUCUUGUUCAUAGCCUCGUAACUUUGCAUCCGUAGCUCCGAUUCAUGCAUAUAGCAUAUCAAAAUGUUCAUCUCAGAGAGUAAAUCAUUUCAUUCCAUUGCAUCAUUUUCAUUUGAGUUCAUCUUGAUACCCGAAAUGCUUUUAGAAGAGGGCUACUUGAGAUAAUUGUCAGAUCUGCUACUCCAUUUAGGUUUUUGUCAUUUUUGCCAUGAUUAAUGUGUGCAUGAUAUGCCCUGAUGCUCUACAUAUGUUUUGUAAAGGGUUAUGUCAUCUUUCCAGAGGUGCAACCCAUGUAUUUUUGUGAUGUGUGUGGUCACUAGCACAAGCUUGCAAAGUGGUGCACUUGGUAAUUCUGUUUUCAGGGACUUAGCAUUUCCACUAAGUGCUUGAUCUGUUUAUCUCAUGAUGCCAUAUGUUCAUGUUGUUUCCUAGUGAUCCGUGCCUCUUUCGAGGAUGAUCAGUAAGGAAGUUUUGUUAAUCUUGUAGUGCUCUAUCCAUCCGUGUCUUUGUUUGCAUUUAUGGAGCACCCUAGCUUGAGUCAAUUGAGCUCUACUUUUGCUACUUUGUGAAUCUGGGCAGAUUGUCAACUUGUUUGCAAUUUUGCCGAUGAUGUUGUAGUUGAUCCAUGCAUGCUAUGCUUUUGUUCUUGCCAUGUCUAGCUUUCAUUUUGUGUGUUCUUGAUGGGUGUAUGCUUAGUUUUUCAUGACUUGCACCGUAGUGAGUGCAUCGAGCUCGUAAACAUGCCUACUUGAUAUCUGUUUUCAGCAUGCUCCAGUUGUCACUAAGUCUGAAAACUGUUAUUUUUUUUGCUAUGUUCACAUGCUUGCAAUUGAAUUUUCUGAUCCCUUUUGGCUCAAGGUCUCUAGGGGACUUUUGUUAAGCUCUUUGAGUAGCUCCAUGCCAUGCUUUACUUUUCCAUUUUCAGGUCCUGUAGCCUGUAGUUUUGUUGCUCCGAAGAGUGCUAUCUGAUCUGAAAUUCCAGACAAGUGUUGAUUUCACUAAGUCUGAGAUAUGUUUGCCAUAUGCAUUUUUUGCCAUGCUUGUUUGAACCUGUUAAUGGAUGAAUUGGCCGUAGCUCAGUGCUAGACUUUUGUUAAGAAUCAUGAAUGCAUCCCUGCCAUGUAUUUUGUUGUCAUGUUUGAGUGAUGUAGCAUGUUCAUCUUGUUGCAUUUAGAUGGCUACUUGCUGUAAAUCGCAGACCGGUGUCAAUUUUGAAUCGCUUGCCAUUUCCAAACCGUAACUCCGAUUCCGGCGUUCUUUAUAUCGUUAUCAAGAAAUUUCAUCUCAUCUUCCCAGUGGUAUACUUGGAUUUCCAAGUUGAGGCCAGGUUCUUGCAUUUCCUGUCAUAUCUUGCAUAUGCAUCCCGCAUCGCAUCCCGCAUAGCAUAUCAUCAUUGCAUCAUAUUGUUUGAUCCUUGCACGUGGUUGAUUGUGUCCUUGUUGCUUGUUUGUCUUGGUUGGGUAGAGCCGGGAGACGAGUUCGCUAACGAGGAGCCCGUUGAGUUUGCUUUCGAGGAUCCAGUCAACUCUGACAACUGUGCAGGCAAGAUGAUCAUACCCUCGAAAUCACUACUAUCUUUGCUAUGCUAGUUUUCUCGCUCUUUUGCUAUGCCAAUGCUACGAUGCCUACCACUUGCUUUCAAGCCUCCCAAAUUGCCAUGUCAAACCUCUAACUCACCUUGUCCUAGCAAACCAUUGAUUGGCUAUGUUACCGCUUUGCUCAGCCCCUCUUAUAGUGUUGCUAGUUGCAGGUGAAGAUUGGAGGCCGUUCCUUGUUGGGUCAUUUAUUUACUUGUUGGGAUAUCAUUAUAUUGCCAUGUUAUCUUAAUGCAUCUAUAUACUUGGUAAAGGGUGGAAGGCUCGGCCUCUCGCCUAGUGUUUUGUUCCACUCUUGCCUUCCUAGUUUCGGUCAUAUCGGUGUUAUGUUCCCGGAUUUUGCGUUCCUUACGCGGUUGGGUUAUAAUGGGAACCCCUUGUUAGUUCGCCUUGAUUAAAGCUUUUCCAGCAAUGCCCAACCUUGGUUUUACCAUAUGCCACCUAGCCUCUUUUUCCCUUGGGUUUCCGGAGCCCGAGGGUCAUCUUAUUUAAACCCCCCCGGGCCAGUGCUCCUCUGAGUGUUGGUCCAACCUAGAGCCCCACCUCGGGGAAACUUGAGGGCUGGUUUUAGUUGUACGGAUUGCUUAUCUGAGUGUGCCCUGAGAACGAGUUAUGUGCAGCUCCUAUCGGGAUUUGUCGGCACAUUCGGGCGGUGUUGCUGGUCUUUUUUUAACCUGUCGAAGUGUCUUGAAGAACCAAGAUACCGAGUCUGAUCGGAACCUCUUGGGAGGAGGUCUAUUCUUUCGUUGACCGUGAGAGCUUGUCAUGGGCUAAGUUGGGACUCCCCUGCAGGGAUUUGAACUUUCGAAAGCCGUGCCCGCGGUUAUGGGCAGAUGGGAAUUUGUUAAUGUCCGGUUGUAGAUAACUUGAACCUUAACUUAAUUAAAAUGAAUCAACUGAGUGUGUUACCGUGAUGGCCUCUUCUCGGAGGAGUCUAGGAAGUGGACACGGUGUUGGAGUAAUGUUUGCACAUGUUUCUCUCUAGUUUCUUGCUCGCGCUUUGCCUCCUCUUCUCGCUCUCUUUUGCGAAUAAGUUAGCCACCAUAUUUUGCUAGUCGCUUGCUGCAGCUCCACUUAUAUUUACCUUGCCAUACCUAUAAGCUUAAAUAGUCUUGAUCGCGAGUGUGCGAGAUUGCUGAGUCUCUGUGGCUCACAGAUUACUAUUACACCAGAUGCAGGGCCUGAUGAUUCCGCUCUAGGAGACGUGUUUGAGCUCAAGUGGGUGUUCGACGAGGAAUCUCAACGUUACUAUGUUUCCUUUCUUGAUGAUCAGUAGUGGUGCCUAGUUGGGGGUGAUCGGGACCGUGUCGCAUGUUGGGUUCUGUUUUAUUUUGGCGCCGUAGUCGGGCCAUGAGUGUUUGGAUGAUGUAAUGUUAUUUAUGUUCUUGAUUGACGUGGCGAGUGUAAGCCAACUAUGUUAUCUCCCCUUUAUUAUUUAUAUUACAUGG
rnacentral:lncRNA from 1 species